rnacentral:rRNA from 1 species
GUCGAGCGAACAGAGAAGGAGCUUGCUCCUUCGACGUUAGCGGCGGACGGGUGAGUAACACGUGGGCAACCUACCUUAUAGUUUGGGAUAACUCCGGGAAACCGGGGCUAAUACCGAAUAAUCUGUUUCACCUCAUGGUGAAACACUGAAAGACGGUUUCGGCUGUCGCUAUAGGAUGGGCCCGCGGCGCAUUAGCUAGUUGGUGAGGUAACGGCUCACCAAGGCGACGAUGCGUAGCCGACCUGAGAGGGUGAUCGGCCACACUGGGACUGAGACACGGCCCAGACUCCUACGGGAGGCAGCAGUAGGGAAUCUUCCACAAUGGGCGAAAGCCUGAUGGAGCAACGCCGCGUGAGUGAAGAAGGAUUUCGGUUCGUAAAACUCUGUUGUAAGGGAAGAACAAGUACAGUAGUAACUGGCUGUACCUUGACGGUACCUUAUUAGAAAGCCACGGCUAACUACGUGCCAGCAGCCGCGGUAAUACGUAGGUGGCAAGCGUUGUCCGGAAUUAUUGGGCGUAAAGCGCGCGCAGGUGGUUUCUUAAGUCUGAUGUGAAAGCCCACGGCUCAACCGUGGAGGGUCAUUGGAAACUGGGAGACUUGAGUGCAGAAGAGGAUAGUGGAAUUCCAAGUGUAGCGGUGAAAUGCGUAGAGAUUUGGAGGAACACCAGUGGCGAAGGCGACUAUCUGGUCUGUAACUGACACUGAGGCGCGAAAGCGUGGGGAGCAAACAG